CUUGGAGGUAUUCAUGUUACCAGUAUUGCUACCUUGUUUGAACCUAGAGUUCUGUAAAUAUGUCAAGUGCUUGGGUAUUUUCUUUUACAGUCUAAUUGCUGAGCUAAUUCAUCCUGGUAAUCCUAUCUUUUCAAUGCUGCUGAACUAUGCCAUAAUUUGGAGCUCUUUAUUUGCCUUAGACCUUCUUAAUCUUGAAAGCAUGAUCCCCAGUGCAUCUCAAUCUAAUGGUAUUUGCUCUUUAUGUAAUAUCCCAGAAGACAUGUUUGGCAUUUAAAUGUGUCAAAGCACACUAUGCUUGUCUCUCUCUCUUUAAUAUUCUUUACUAUGACAUAUCCUGUGAUAAGGAAUCCUAAUAUCAAUGGAGUUUAUCAAUUUAGAAAUACAUUCAUUCCUGAUUUUUUUUGAACAAUUUACCUUUUCCUAAGUUGUUAAGUAUGUAUUUGACAUCUUAAGAUUUGUACCAGAAUUUUACACCAAGUUCUUCUUUCUGGUGAUCGAAGAGGGAGGAUAUCCAGGUCAAUCUGUAUACUGGCUUUUAUUGUUUCUUGUUGCACAGCAGUCUGAAUGAGGUUAUAUGGCUGCAUAUCAGCACUGGCCUUGAGCUUAGAUAGACAAAUCUGUAACAAGAGGCCUGGCAGUGAGGACUCAUUUUGCCUACUUUCCAGGUUCUUGAUAAAGCUGUCAGGAUAAGGUCUCAAGGUGGGCCUGUGAGAAACCUAGCUUCUAGGUACAAUAUGAGCCACUAAUUACUACUUAGUGAUUGUCAGUGGGGUUCCUUUGUGAAUUAUUUUGCAUUUAGCAGGGAGAAAACUUCAAAGUCUGCACAAAUGAAAUUUCCUUGGCGUUUGAAGAAAUUUUUGUGGCAAUAUGAAGUUUCUAGAAAGAGCUUUUCAUCAUCUUUUCAGCUGGAAUUAUUUUGCCUCUGCUUACUACAUUAUGUGAGAAUUGUUGCAAUAAAUGCUCAGUAAUUAGAUUAAAAUUUCUGCCCAACACUGUAUGUAUAUUCUAUAAAAAAAAUUGAUCUGAACUAAAAAGCACUUUAAGUCAAAAUUGGGGUUUUUAAAGUAGUUUUGGCUUGGUUGAAAUUACUUAAGUUAUUUUGUGCAGUUCCUAACCAUUGCAGUACAUAUAAGAUGAAAACAUUAUAUUGAUGUUAUGUAAUCAAUGAUUAGGCAUAAGCGAUAGGGAUUUGGAAUGAAAGGUGUUAUUCCUCUUUCCUGAUAAAGGACUGACAUAAGGAUAUACAAAAUUUUGUAUUCAAAAUCUUGUUCUGAAAUAUAAUAAAUUAUCUCUUUAUUACUACAUUCAGUUUGGGAAUCGUUUGCCUAGUGAUCAAGUGGAGUUUGCCUGGAACAACAGUAAUAUAAGGUACAAGCUAUUGGUAAUCUGUGAGGACAGGCACUGAUGAACACAGCUGCAAAGAAUGGUUUACUGGUAUUGCUGAUUGGAACUGGUCCAGUGCAUAUGGGACUUGUUCUAAAACAUUGGUGAAUUAUUUUGGUUCCCAUGACCAACAAAUGUUGUCUUGCUGUUUUUAUGAUCCUGUCUGCAGUAGGGCUGAUCACAUUAGGGCACUGGAGAGACAGAAAAUGGUUAUAUUUUAUAUUAAUUUCAUUCUGAAAUGUGAAUUUCUGACAAUAUGCAUUUUAAAUUUGAUUGACUUCUCCACACAGUAUUCCUCAAUGUCUCUAUUUCCCAUGCAGAUGAGAAUAGGCACUAGUAAUUGCUGGUGCAAUUUAAGCUACUUGAACAAGAUUGGAGUCAAUGAGAGAAUGCUGUAAAUGGUGCUUGGACUUCAUUGAAUAUUGCGACAUACUGUUAGCUGUUUGCAAGACAUUACUCAUGAUAUUGCCUGAUGGUCUGAGGCCUAAUGAAGUUCAUUUAGCAAAAAGCACUGCUUUCUUUCUCUUUUAAGGGAUCUGAAACUGCGUUAUAGGGUAGGAUAAAACUAGAGCACCUGUCCUUUUUGUUGACCACUGAGAGGAUCAUCUUACUCUUUACCUUCACCAGAGUUUUUUCUUCUGCGGUAUUGCUUUUGAUUUAGGAGGUAGCUUCACUGAAAAUAGGCAGUCACCAAGAAACUACCAUUACUUCCUUCAGCUGCUACCUCAGACUUAUUCAAGAUGUUUCUAGUAGCUUGAAACCUGAUAAUGGAUUGGCAAAUGGAAAAGAAUAAUCUCUGCUUUUGUCACUUGAGGUUUCUGUUUUGCCACAGUCAGCUUCCUUGUUCUUCUUUGCCUCUCAUUCUGUGUUUUCAGUUCAAAAAAAAAAACAACAAAGCAAAAUCUUUGGGAGAGAUCUUGCAGUAUCUCAUAUUUAAUCUUUUCCACUGAGAAAGGAGUCUACCUGGUUAUGGUCAUGGGAUUUUUUUUUUUUUGAAAUGUGUAAGCAAUGGGAAGAUGAUAAAAAUCCUCAGGGUACAGAAGAAGAGCAGAGCAUCUGUUAGAGAGCAUUGGUAGAGGAAUUAUUCCAGCUCUCUCUGUAAGGACAACAUAGUACUGCUCUCCUCAGGGCAAAGUUCUGCCUAAAAGAAUUUCCUGAACACUACAGUAAAUCAUUCAUUCUUCAGGUCAGGAAUUGCUGUUAAUUAUAUUUUCUGUUGAUCCUUUCCAUAGCAAUUACUGUUGCCACAGCAGACUUCGGUAUAUCACUUUUAUCUAUUCUUGAUGCUGAAGCUUUGAUUGUGGGUGCAAAUAACAUACAUACAAAAUCUGGUAUGAGCUUCCUCCAUCUCAGAGCUCCCUUGUCAUUCUUGGCAGUUGCAGAUACAGAAGUUCCUUGUAUGUUCUCUUCUAUUCUGUCAUUUCCUCUCAUGCUCCUUGUGCUCAGUCCUCCUUUUAAUUUUGCUCUCUUUUGUAGCAGGAGUAGUCUACUCUGCUCAUUUCAUACUCAAAGAAGCAAGCAUUGCUUUCUGGAAACAACAGUAUUUUCCUUCAGCUACACCUCCAGCAUCCCACAUUACUCCUUUUUAUAGUUAAGCUCACUGAAUUCACAUAUUUGCUCUGAAGAAGCUUUCCUCAGUUUUAAACCUUCUCUCUCUCUCUGUUCAGUGAUUUCCUUUCCCUAGUUUAACCCUUAUUGAAGUCUCCAUUAGCUUACUACUCAAAUUUCAUCCUCCUCGAGCUAUCAGUCACUUUCAGUACUUUCAGUGCUCUUUUUUUUUUCAAAAUCUUUUUGCCCCUGGUUCUGUUACACCUGCGGUCUUGAUCAUUUCUGUGGAAAACAAGAAAAUUCUUUGUCCUUCCCGGUUUUCCAUGGAGCUCUCAUUAGUUAAGUUGUUCCUCUCUUCCUUGUUAGGGUAUUUAGGAACACAGGGGAGAACCAUGUUGCUCCCAUCCAAACUGUUUAUCUAUCCCUGACAUGCCCAGCUGAAAGUGUCUAGAGCUCAGUGUUUCAGGGAGGGAUUUCACUUUUUCAUCAAAUGUCUUUUCUGUUUUUGGCAUUAAUCACGUGGACAUCAGCAGCACUUCUGUGAACCUGACUUGCUUUUUGACUCAGUCCUGUCUCAGAAGCUUUGAAUUUACCAAACUGUGACUAAGCAGGCACUUUCCAUGUAAUAUGUGUAAUUAAUAUAAUACUUAUUAAUGUUUCCCCUGUGUUUCAGAAAGACCUCUGUAAUCAUCUUAAAGGAAGACUUGUUGUAGGCUGUCCAAUUCUACCUCUAGUUCCUCAUUUCUGUUGACAAACCAGGUUGUUAAUCAAUGAAAGCAGAUUUAUACUCUGGGAAGUGUCACUCCUGUCAUAUGCUCCAAGAAGUCUACGUGUCUCCUGUACAGAGGACUUGACAUCUGGAUGCAAUACUUCAGUUGUAUAUAUGGCUGCUUAAAGUGCUGGGGAAUGGAGUACUGGGUCAUAGUACCUCAUGGACACCUUUGGGUGCAGACAAAUUUCAAGAACUUGGCGAUUGUUUAAUGUUCAGAAUUCAAGUCUGUUUGCCAUGUGAAGUGAAGGCCCUGAGGAACUCAAUAAUUUUGUCUUCAUUUGCAACCUGCUAGAAUGUUUGCGCUUGUAUGGAAUACUGAAGAUAAUUGUUCAAGAAUAAUGGCAAAGCUGAAGAAGCUUGUACAGGUUUUUGUAUUUCUUUUUAUGAGUGAACAGUGAUUUGAAAAUGCUAUUGAAUCUGAAUAGUAGCUCAUCAGGUUUGGCUGAAGCAGAUGACUACAGAAGACAUUAGGCAACGGGGAUUUGAGCCUGAAAUAUGAAAUGAAGUGUGCCUCUCUAAUCUUCUUCAAAAAAGACUGCAAAAAGUGUGUCUGGAUGUUCAUACCAAUGUACAGAUGCUUGUGUAGUCAUACAAAUAGAUCUUUCAUAUCUCCUUUUCUAGAUGUCACAUAGACUACAUUUGUUUGACCUCUCAGUGAAGUUUGAGCAGGGGUUAGAAGAGAUUAUGGUCAGCUGAGAAUCAUAUGACAAAAUAUCUCUGCAUUUGAAAAGAUGUGGCAAGAUACUACAGUUCUUCACAGCUUCAAAGCACUACAUGCACAGUGUACACACAGAUGUCCUUAGUGUUUCAAAUAUUCACCUUGUUCACCAAACCAAUGUAUUGUAUCCCCCUCUGCAGUGUAUAUGGAAAGGUACAAGCCUAUCUCAAACCAAUCAUCAUGAUCCAAGCAGCUGUCACAAGAACAACGAUCGCAGCAAAUGUUCUGUUCUUCAGCACUGGUAAAGGAGAGGAAAAUGCACACAAUUAGAGGAAUCCUGAGAGAUUUUCCACGUCUUGGUGCAUCUCUGCUGGACACCACAUUGUGUGUAAAAGUCUGUAUCAGUGUGGGUUACUGGAGUUUCAUCUUCUGAAGCCUUUCCAGGCCCUAGCUGUUUGGUCAGCUAAUCACAGAUAUCACAUUUUAAAAGAAGAUCCACAAAGCAGUUGCAGGCACUUGGAAGAAUUUUGACCAAGUUUGGGUGAACCAAGGACUAUGGAGAACAUCAGAAUUCAUGUGAUAUUAAUGAAGUGAUUAUUCAUACUGGACUUACAAAUGUAGAAGACUUAAGUUCUUCUGGGAGGAGGCAGGAUCACAACCAGGAGCACCAGGAGCAUCAUUCUUUCCUUUUUCUUAUAGGUUAUGCUCUGUUGCCAUGGAAUUCAGAAGAAAUUUGACAGAGAAUUCUUCUGGCAUCAGCUUCCGAAUGAUCUAUCACCUUUAGCAUCUCAACAGGGUUUUCUACUGUUGCUUCUUAAGUUCAGCGGAGUAAGGAAAGAAUGGGAAGCACACUGCGCAGUUGAAAUCAGAAGACACGUGGAAGGGAGGAGAGGAAAAUUGAAGGAAGCGCACUUCAGAGACAUUGGUAUAACACAAAAUGUUUAAAUCAUAUAUAACUGGUGAACUACUGCCCUGUUGUGUCUUUCUCCUUGUAGCAGUUAAGUUCUUCUACUCAUAAUGCCUUUGAAGCACAGCUGGAUGACAAUCCAGCUGACCAGUCUACUGCAGUAACUCUGCUGACUGCAACUACAAGCUUCACAAGAGUACUGUGGAACUGGAGACAGGAACCUAUCCUUUAUUACACUAAGGCAAUUUGUAAACUGGUAUACCGCUACCUUAGGACAACAACUGGGAGCUUUAGACCUUCAGUUCUUUUAUUUCGAAAUAAAUGAGAAAAAAAAAGUAGAAAUUACAUCUUGAACGCAGAUAUAUUACUUUGCAAGCAUGCAUGAGAUCUUUGAAGGAACAAUCUCAUUUCUCUGAUUAAUCCGGGCUCUGCUACUUUCAGUGAUUCUUUCCCGUGUCUACUAAGCUAUGUUGACACAUGGCAGUCCUGGAGUAGGUUUUCAGAAAAUGGUGACCAGAAAGAAGCAGAAUGUGGCUAUAUCUGUACAUCCACUUUGUUCCUCUGUAUCAAUUUCAACUUUUCUAGAAGGCGCCAAUGGAGAAAAAGCUGUAAAUUUCAUAUCAGCCUAUCUGAGAAACUCAAAUGAAACUUCAAGAUCAGUCAUCACAAUGCAUCUCCCAUUUCUUUCUAAAGAAAGAAUUUGGGAAACUUAUUUUCAGAGGCAAAAUCAAGCCAAAUAAUAUCUGUGCUAAAGUGGUGGAAAGGUGAAAAGUUUCUACUGUCUGGGGCAAUUGCUGGGAAGCUGUGACUGAUAUCUGCAAGAGCUUUAUCCAAAAGAGUUCAUCCACAGGUUUCAAGAGAAAGAAAGAAUGGGUUGUCCACUACAGCUGAAGCAAGGAAGUAAGAAAUAGGAAAAUCUGUGAUAACUUGACAGCAUGGCACAGUGGUGCACAGUUAUGGGCAGACCACUUUGUCCCAAUAUCCCCUCCUGACCCAGACUUGUCCAGGGUUCUACAAGCAACAGUUUAAGACAUUAUCAAAAGUACCACAAUGUAAAAAUACGCUGGUUGAAGCCCAAACAUUAUUUAUACAGUUAUGCUUCUGUUCUUUACCUGAUGGAAAAAGCUAAUGAUGUUAACUUUAAGAUAGAAAAUUUCCUGGUUAAAAAUGAUAUUAUAGUUUUGGAGGAAGAAUUACUGUUUUCUCUCCCAGCAUUUCUACUUGAAAAUUGUUAUAGCAAUAAGUAUUUCCCAUAUCUACCAGCCAUCAUGAUUCUGAUACUGUGAAUAUUCUGAAGACAAAAUAUUUUUACAUUAUAUUUAUUUCAAAAGUGUAGUACAAAUUGAAGCUUGAAAAAUGUCUUCCUAAUGCUGAUUUCAUUUCUUUAAUUCAGAUUUGUUUAUUAAUGUUAUAUUUGUAGUGCAAUUUUUUUUUAAAACUCUACCACUUUCCAAAGCAAACAAACCAAUAGUGAGGAGGAGAGCUUGAUGUUUUCAGCCCUGAUUUCUCAGAGAGGCAGAAAAUAAGUAAGUAAAUACAUAAAUAAAUAAAUAAAAGGCAGUUUCCGUUAUCAGGAUGGUGCUAGCUUUGAUGAAGAAACAGAGUUGACUUAAAAGUGAUUAAAACAGAUUUUGAAAGCAAACAAUCUAAAGAAAAGCUAAAUGUGUUCUUCUCACUAGGUGACCAGGUUCACUUUGCAAAAAUACUUUUUAGCACAAGGAAAGUGCAGAGAAACUGUGUUAGUAUUUUAAUUAAAGCCUUAUCACUUAUCUAGGAAAAAGUAUCUUAUGCUUGAAAGAUGAUUUCAUGAUCUGAAGAUACAUCCAGGUUAAAAGUAAUCUAAAUCAACAGAAUAGAUGUUUUGCUUAUGUUUACAGGCUUGAUGCUUGGCUUAAUCAGCUGACAAAAGAUCAACGUUAAUAAGCAAGUUUUUGACAGGAAACUGUAUAGCGAGUUAUUGAAUGCAAGUCAAGACUUGGUUUAUAGAAAAACAAUGAAGAAUAAGAAUUAUUUAAAAAUGGAAUUAAUAAACCUCCACCGCAACAAGUAAUUAAAAACUGAAGAGUAUGAAAGUGUCACCCUGUGACCCAGUUCUCAUGAAUUGUUUUAGUAAAAUUUUUAGGAACCAGUAGCUAUUUUUAGAAUAGCACAUGACUAAAAGGUUAAAAAAAAAAAAAAAAAGUAUUUGCUUCAAAUCUUUUUUUACAAAGAUUUUACCAAGGAACUUCAAGGUUGAUCAUGUUUCUAUAACAGCCGUGAUUAGAGUGUGGACACACAUUUGAAGAUGAAGUUGCUAGGACUAGGUGCUGAGAUAUGAUGUUGAUUGGCAUUCUAUAUAUGUCACAGGUGAAUAGGCAGAGAGAUUAGGGAGGAUCAGGGAUUAUCUGCAAUAGCGAAUAAAUCUGUCAGUCUUGUCACACAGCUAUUGCUCUCAGCUGUUGUUCCUCAGAAACCCAAAAGAGACAACGCGUGCAGAACUGAUGGUACCAGAUAAUUCAUUCUCAAUACCUUCAGUGGAAAUUAAAGAAAAAAAUAAAGAUUUUUAUAAUGCACAUAAAGUAUACUUGUUAAUGCAGAGCUGUAAAAAUACAGUACUCGAAAAGAAUGAGUUCAAGGAAAAUGUUUACUGAAGUAAAUUUACUUAGUGAUCAUCACAAAGUAAAGAGGUUGCUUAUGUUUAUGAACUGAACAAAGGAUCUCAAUUUGAGCAGAUCAAAACUAAUCAGAUCAAUGAGGCAGUCUGAGAAUUGCAUAUUGAGUUGAAUCAGCUGCUGAAGUCAGCAUCUGGGUAUGGUGUAGAAUAAGAGCUACAUGCUUCAGCAGAAGUCUCUCCAAAAUCUCAUGUAGUCAGCUUCUUUCAAGAGAAGAGUCUGUAUCUACAAUCCAGAGAGAGGGAAAGGAAUUAGCUCAGUUGUUGAUAAUAUACUGCACCACUUGUAUGGCCAUCUAGAAUAGAUAGCGGGUCAUAUUUUGUCAUUGAGAGUGGAAAAUAACCUUUAUCUGGUCAUUAAUUGGUGUUUCAAUGCUUGACAGAGUAGAUAAGGCUCCUAUAUGUGGCUAGGUUGAACUAAGCCUUUAUUAGAAAAUCAUCUGAUAUGCUAUUUUUUAUUGAUGUAAAAUAACUCUCAUUAUAUGAUAGUGACAAUUUUUCUCUUGUACAAGUGAUGAAUUUAAGUAUCUGUCAGAUGUAAGAAACUGUUUCUGAAGAUUGUCCUCAUUAGAGAAUUUUGCCAUCUGCAUUUCAUUGCACCAAAAAGAUUAUAUGACAUGUCCUUUUGGUCAAAAUGUGCAGACUGUGAGCAUUCUGGUUAUAUGUAGCAAGUAUACAAUGCAAGGAAAAGAAAAACAAACUUAUUCUGGUGUUAACCUACUUCCUAACUUCUUAGAUUAAUCUGAAGGGAACACAAUAGCUACAAACUAUUCUAUUCCUGUUCAGGUAGAAUGUGAUGCUUCAGGGAGGUUUGGUAUCCCACUGCUUAUGCCCCUUCAAAAAUAGCCUGGUAGACAGGUGAGGGAACUGAGCUCUUUAUUAUCCUGUUGAAAUAUAUGUAAUGAAAUGUAACGCAGUACUGAGACCGUGCAGAUCAUUGCUGCUGUCAUCUGAAUUACCAGUUUUACUCAAAGCUUUUAAGCUUUUCAUCCCAGUACUCUAAAUGGAUCUUCCCUGCAAAUGAGUAUCAAAUGGUGCUUAAGAUACUGGAUUUAUCAUACCAGUUUGAGAUUAUCCCUCAGGUGUUGCUUUUUUUGCCUCAGUCAGGGUGAAUUUGCCAUAAGAGCUAAGUAAAGGCUUAAGAUUGAGUGACAACGUGAAUAGGAAUAAUUUUUGCAGACAACCCUUCCCUGUCAACCACAUUUGUUAUCUAUGUCAAGGUAAUCUCUGCAAAAUACAUCUCUCAUAAAAUGUUCAAAUUGUCUGGUUGACAUUUUAAGACACCAUCCAUGCACAAGACACAGUCUUCACCAUAUCAUUCUCCACUGGGAACCUGAUGAGGUUUAACAAGAGCAAGUGUAGAGUCUUGCACAUGGGGAGGAAUAACCACAUGCACCAGUGCAGGUUUCGGGAUGACCUGCUGGAGAGGAGCUCUGAGGAGAAGGACCUGCAGGUCUUGGUGGACAACAGGUUGGCCAUGAGCCAGCAGUGUGGCCUAGAAGCCCUUGUGGCCAAGAAGGCCUACAGUAUCCUGGGGUGUGUUAAAAACAACAUGGCCAGCAAGUCAAGAGAGGUGAUCCUCCCCCUCUACUCUUCCCUAGUGAGGCCACAUUUAGAAUACGGUUUCCAGUUCUGGGCUCUCCAGUUCAAAAAAGACAGGGAUCUCCUAGGAGUCCAACAACGAUGAGUUAAUGAGUUAUCAGAUUAAAAUUGAUGUGGGAAAUACAGUUCUUCAAAUAUUAAAACCAAAUUUUGCCUAAAUUAAUACAAAUUGCAGAGCAAAAAAGAAUGAGGCAGGUUACUGUAUUUCUACAAAAAUAUAGCACUUGGAAAGACUAAUUACCUGAGAGAGAUAUUUCUAGGAUUCUGUGCAUGAAUCCUUCAAAAUAAGCACUUCCUCCUUUAGGAUCUUUUAAAAAAAAAUCCAGUUACAGAUGCAAACUCUGUUCCUCUGACAAAGCUCUGUACAAAACCUUGUAACUUCCCCCUCUUAGUUGGAUGGCUUUAAAUCCAUUUCUUUGACUGAACAAAAUCCUACAAAAAAUUUCAGUCUGUUUCUGCAUGUUCAAAGAAGCCUUUGUUAAGACAGAAUGUCAUAAAUGAGCCUUGUCUUAGAAGCUCUGAAUAUGAUUUAAGCCUCUCUUUAGGCUGUAUUUUUCUCUAAUGGAAUUUCAUAUUAUGUUGGGUUAACUGGGAUGGAUCACACUUGACAGUACUCACCUUGCCAGUUCUGCUUGAUUAUGAAAUCUGGUUUGCUGUGUGAAAGCAGUAUUCUAUCAUGAAAUUAUUAUACUAUUAUGACUUUAUUUGUGAAAUCAUAAACUACUAGCAAAAAUGUCAGGGGCUUUGCAGAAUAAAGAAAUAUAUUUCAUUUGCAAAAGCAUUUUAAAAGACAGUGCUUUAAUAUUUAAUGAACAAUAUAUAUUUUUUAAACAAGAAAACAAUGUAGCUACAUUCUUUGGGGUAUAUACUUACAUUUACUUAGCCAAACUCUAUCCUAAGGAAGAAAGAAAUCAUUCUAUUUGGUGGAAAAAAAGUCUAGUAGCUUCCACACAAUUGGUUCAUUCAGCACAGGUUAACCUUUUUUAGCAAGAUGUAUUAUUUUUUCAGAUGCUGAGAGUAUUGUAUUUAUGUCAUAAGCCACGUUACUUUACCGAUUACCUUAUAGAGUAGUGGAAUGUAUUUCCCUAAGCUGUUGAAGAAAAGCUUCUCAGCAAGGUAUCCAAAUGGAAAAAAUGUAUUCAGUACUAUGACCACAAUGGAGUCAAUGGGCAUGAUACUGCAGUGUGAACCACAACUCAUCUGUUUCCUUAAGCCUUUAAAGCAGGCAGAUCUUCAGAGGUAAGUCAAUUUCAUGUGAAAUGCACUAAAGUCUAGUUCUCAAGUUUUAAAUGCAAAGGCAUGAUGUUUGUGGCACCAGUUCUCAAGACUGCUGCAGAGGCUGCAGACAGCUGUACUGCAUUUCCCUAGGUAUUUUCAGUGGCAGAGGGCUGCUUUCUGGCUUUGGUGCUCUUUUGCCAUGGACUUGUGGAGAGAGAAGGAAGGUAUACUUGUUACAGCUAAACCAAAUUAUAUUAGCAUAAAGAUGCCUUUUUAAGUUGUCUCAGAUACCGUAGUGUGUUCCCUGAGAUGCUGAAAACACAGCAAUAGCUCUGUGCAAAUUUAUGGAUUUUUGAAGAAAAACUUGUAGAUAGAGAAAAGAUGUGGAGUGACUUCAGAAACUUGAUGUGCUGAGGGUUGGCAUCUUUGCUUGCUCUGCAUUUGCAUGUAUUGUAACCUUCAGUGGAGGUUAGUGCUCUUGUUAACAGUUGGAAUCCCUUUACAGAAAAACAAAAAAUUCUGCUCAGAGUUCUCCUUCCUUUCUCAGGCUCACUGCUGCUCUAGAGGGUCAAGUUCAGCUCUUACCUUCAUCUCAGUUUAGCUUUCUAUUAUCCAGCAAAUGGCAUUCCAUACUUGUGACUCUUUAAUGUAGAAUCCUAUCUCUUUUGUAGGCUUUUCUGUUCACUGCAGUGUCAUCACUGGUGUCUGCAGAGCUUUUGGGCUAACACAAAUUUCAGAUUGCAGCGCAGUACCUGGCAUUCAGUGCUUGGCGUUCUGAGGAGGCAACAUCUCAAACUGGUUUUUGCUGUUUAUUUUACAUUUGGAUAGAAGAUUGUCCUUGAAGAAGCGUGGCCACUUGCAUCAAUACACAUUCAUGUCCAGGCUUCCAGUGCCAGUUGCGUACUUAUUUUUAGAUUAAAGUGCUCCUGUGACUGGCACCUCUCCAUGAACAAAUAAAUACAUGUAAUGUUCACAUAAUACAGAAGAAUAAAGUGAGUGUAUUACAAUAACAAGCUGCUACAUUAUACACGAACAUUGUAGGCUUCUUUCCAGACACGUCCGUGCAAGUACGAUAGCCAUGGAUCUGGUUUAUGUUUAGCAAACAUACUAAGACAUCUAGUCUUUUCUGCAAUAUAUGUGACUUGUGUUUCAUAUUCAAAAGAACAGAAAAAUGUUCAGUUGCUGUUGGGGAUCGCCCCGGUAUCCCCAAAGCGUUGCCCUAUCGGUACUCGCGUGGGGAACGCACGAUCAACUCAAUAUGAGAUGCAUCCAAUUUUAUUGUAGCAACACACCAUCUUAUAUAGCAUAUAUGCUUCCAGGGAUACAGGGUCCAGGGAUACAAGCUCUAUCCAAUGCGCAUGCUAACAAAUUGUUGCCUGAGUUAUCUCCAUAUAUGGGAUAUGUUGUUAACUACAACACUAUGGAUACAGAAUACUAUGGAUAUGCUGGAAUAUACUAGAACACACUGGAAACACCACAUUCCACGUAUCUAGGGAUUACAUCAUUACAUCAUAAAUCAUUAGUAAAUCAGUAGCUACGUGCUGCCGAGCAACCUGCUUCUCAACAAUUCCCCCCUUUUUCUUUUAGGUCUGUAAGGCAAAACAAUCCUUUGGAUUGUG